UACGAAGGGUGCAAACGUUGCUCGGAAUCAUUGGGCGUAAAGCGCGCGUAGGCGGUUACUUAUGUCGGAUGGGAAAGCCCUCGGCUUAACUGAGGAAGUGCAUUCGAAACUGGGUAGCUAGAGUACUAAAGAGGGUCGCGGAAUUCCCGGUGUAGAGGUGAAAUUCGUAGAUAUCGGGAGGAACACCGGUGGCGAAGGCGGCGACCUGGGUAGAUACUGACGCUGAGGCGCGAAAGCGUGGGGAGCAAACAGG
rnacentral:rRNA from 1 species